UACGUAGGGUGCAAGCGUUGUCCGGAAUUAUUGGGGCGUAAAGGGCUCGUAGGCGGUUUGUCGCGUCGGGAGUGAAACCAGGUGCUUAACACCUGGCUUGCUUUCGAUACGGGCAGACUAGAGGUAUGCAGGGGAGAACGGAAUUCCUGGUGUAGCGGUGAAAUGCGCAGAUAUCAGGAGGAACACCAAUGGCGAAGGCAGCUCGCUGGAACGGUACUGACGCUGAGGCGCGAAAGCGUGGGGAGCAACAGG
rnacentral:rRNA from 1 species